rnacentral:rRNA from 1 species
GGCUCCUCGUGAAAACUAAAUGGGGAGUCGGACCUGCCCAGUGAAUUAUUUUAACGGCCGCGGUACUCUGACCGUGCAAAGGUAGCAUAAUCAUUUGCCUUAUAAUUGAAGGCUUGUAUGAAUGGUUUGACAAGAAUAUAACUGUCUCUCUAUGACUUUAUAGAAUUUUAUAUCUAGGUGAAGAAGCCUAGUUACAAUUAAAAGACAAGAAGACCCUAUCGAGCUUAAAAAGAAUUAAUAGGUUAUUGAAUAAUAAAAUUAAAAAUUUUUCUAUUAAAAAUUUUAGUUGGGGCGACUAAGGAACAAAAAAAGCUUCCUUCAAAAUUUAAAUACUCUACAAGUAAUGAUCCAAAAAAUUUUGAUUAAGGAAAUUAGUUACCGUAGGGAUAACAGCAUUAUCUUUUUUAAGAGUUCUUAUCGAAAAAAAGGUUUGUGACCUCGAUGUUGGACCAGAAUAUCCUAAAGAUGCAGAAGUCUUUAAGGGUUGGUCUGUUCGACCAUUAAAAUUCUACG